AAACUGAAGAGUUUGAUCAUGGCUCAGAUUGAACGCUGGCGGCAGGCUUAACACAUGCAAGUCGAGCGGUAACAGGUCCAGCUUGCUG
rnacentral:ncRNA from 1 species